CGUAGGGUGCAAGCGUUAAUCGGAAUUACUGGGCGUAAAGCGUGCGCAGGCGGUGAUGUAAGACAGUUGUGAAAUCCCCGGGCUCAACCUGGGACCUGCAUUUGUGACUGCAAGGCUAGAGUACGGUAGAGGGGGAUGGAAUUCCGCGUGUAGCAGUGAAAUGCGUAGAUAUGCGGAGGAACACCGAUGGCGAAGGCAAUCCCCUGGACCUGUACUGGCGCUCAUGCACGAAAGCGUGGGGAGCAAACAGGAUUAGAUACCCUGGUAGUCCACGCCCUAAACGAUGUCAACUGGUUGUUGGGUCUUUACUGACUCAGUAACGAAGCUAACGCGUGAAGUUGACCGCCUGGGGAGUACGGCCGCAAGGUUG
rnacentral:rRNA from 1 species